CCGUCCUGAAGGUGAGGAACGAACGUCUUCUACUGUGGUGAUCAAUUCCUGUGCUUCAUUACAUUCCUGGGAAAAUGUUCGUCUCCUGUGAAAGCAAAACACAUACAUAGGGACACAAGCACCUCCUCUUACAUAAACACAGACAAACACGGAAACAGGAAUGUUCGCGGUUGUUAGCGAAGCAGCGACACAACGGCGAAGAAGCAAAACAUCAACUACUCUGGCACCAGCAACGAACGCCCGCAGGUCUACGUGACAACGCCGAGCAUAUGCCGCAGCAAACCCGAGCUUGUGUCUGCAUACCCGACAACUCAGCCGUCAAUGGGGGAGUGGAUCAGGUCGCUGCGCCGCUACCUGCCACACACUCACAAAACUCACACACUGUCGUAAGUCUCAUAAGCGUUAUGAAGACACACCUUUUCGUAUUAUUUUUUUUUUCCAUCGGCACCAAAAAUGUUCAAUUAUCGUGAUAACGAUGUUGAAUAAAAACAAGAACUGUAGCAAUGAAAUGUAUAUAACAACGAAAGAAAAUAUUAAUAAAG